GAGAUAAUAGCUAAGUGGUAGAUUGUGUGCCUAGCAUGCACAAGGUUCUGGGUUCAAUCCCCAUUACCUCC
rnacentral:tRNA from 1 species